GGGCCAUGUCCUCAGUCAGCUGGAGAUGCUCCAUAUCAUGUCUAAUCACUUCCCUCCAGUAUUUCUUCGGCGUACCUCUACUCCUCCUGAAACCAUCUAUAGCUAGCCUCUCACACCUCCGGACUAGGGCAUCCACGCCCCUCCUCAUCACAUGCCCGAACCAUCUCAGUCUUCCUUCCCGCAUCUUGUCAUCUACCGAAGCUACCCCCAC
rnacentral:lncRNA from 1 species